rnacentral:rRNA from 1 species
UACGGGGGGGGCAAGCGUUGUUCGGAAUUACUGGGCGUAAAGGGUUUGUAGGUGGCUUGUUAAGUCAGACGUGAAAUCCCUCAGCUUAACUGGGGAACUGCGUCUGGAUACUGGCGAGCUUGAGUGCAGGAGAGGAACGCGGAAUUCCAGGUGUAGCGGUGAAAUGCGUAGAUAUCUGGAGGAACACCGGUGGCGAAGGCGGCCUGCUGGGCAGUAGCUGACACUGAGGCGCGACAGCGUGGGGAGCAACAGG